AUCUCAUUCUCCAAGAAUGAGAUGUUUUUGUCAAAUCGGAUUCAAGUGAGAAAGCUUUUUUUUUCCCCUCAGCUAAGUCAUCAUAAGUUCAAGCUGUGGAUUGUUUUUAAACCCAAAUGCGAAGUUUCGAGGUCUAGAAACAUGAAUUUGGAAUUUGCAGUCCUCAAGUUCAUCCAUUCAAGCAUGAUUCAUCUCAUCAAUCUAAAAUGUCACAUUUUUUGCAUCUCAGAUGGCAGGACCGCCCUGUGUACUACUUACGUCCCUUCCCGUGUGCAUGUACAGUAUGUAUUUCUGUUCUCCUUGGAGAGGCUGUAUUUUUAGCCAGACCCCGUUCUUCUUCUUCUACUCCUCCUCCAACAAAUCCGUGAUGCUCCACUUUUUUCCUCCGGCCUACCCCGUGAUGCCCCGCCAUCACUUUAACCAGCAACACUCCAUCGAAGCUCUUCUGUCCAUCCAUGUCAACAACAAAAUAUGCAUCGGAAUCCUGUUUCUAACAAAUUGCUUUUAAAAAAAUUUAGAAAAUAAAAAUUGAUGACAGAUCCAUCAAAAGCAGGUUAUUAGAUCACCACUGUUUACUUGGCAGUGUCAAACAUUGGACCGUUCCUGCAAAGACUGACGCAUGUCUACUUCCAAGGGGGACACAGAUGACCUAAAAAGCCUGAUUUGCAAAUUUCACAGAUCAUUACCUCCAUUAUCGCCAAGUGCUCCAACCGAACCGAACCUGACAACAUGACAAGCUGUCCGUUAACGCUGGCCCUGAAAGAGUUAAAGCGAUUUUUUUCAAAACUUUUCCACCUCUUCCAUCAUUAGCCUUUUCAAUCAAUCGCCUAAACCCGAACACUAACCUUGCAACGUUUCAUUUCUCAAGAUAAUAAAAAAUUAACUGGUCUGGCAAUUCUAGAUUCCAUUUCUCAUCAGUCUAGACCACAUGACAUUUUUUUUUCAAACCCAGUGAAAUGAUAUCCUGUUGUGAAACGUGUAAAAGGGAACCAAAAUAGCCAUGCGUUGUUCACAGUUAUUUGCAAGUCAAAAACAAAAAAAAGUAAAGAAAACAGACUAAAUCCAUCACCCGAGUACAACAGACAUUUCAAGCUCCUUUCCAAGUUACAGUUUGUCCUUGUUAUGACUUGAGCUGCCAGUACUCUGGGUGUUUUUGUGGCUUCAGCCCACGCCAAGAGCACCUCUGGACAUCUUGUAACACACAUCACCCCCUCUUUACAGCGCAAUAUCACUUUGUACAUUACCGAGCGCACUACUCUUGCUCCGACCGCGUUCAAGCCUGAUUACAAUCUUAUUUUUUUCCAUUCGGAAAAACCUUAAAUGCUCUUCACACGUUUUUUUCUUUGAGUGCCGUCAAAAGCCUUCACUUCACCUCCUCUAAGCGCAAAUGUAUUUGUCAUCCUCUGAGUUGCGCACUUCCAAACAGCCGGAAAAUACAUCAGCUUUUGUUUCAGACCAGAAACUUGGCGCCGCUUUUCUUUCCGUAUUUUAAAAACGCAUGCGCGGCCUUUUAAGAGAGACCUGAAAAUGAUACUUGUUUCAAUGUCAAUAAAACAAGACUGAUGAAUGCUUUUACCGCUCCAACACAUUUUAUGAAACAUAAACCGGAAAAGGGAUUUGAACGCACCUCGAAAAUUGCAAUUAUAUAACACACAAAUAUAUCUGUGUGUUAUAUCUGUGUGUUCGCUAGGGGCCUUUAAGAGGCGGGCCUGCAUGAGUGUCAGUGCGUGAGCUGUGACCAACAGCAGCGGCUCUUGCACGAGUAGAAAUCUUGAAAACUAAAAUCUUUCAUUCUUGAGCCAAACAUAUUAAAAUAAUAAUAAUAAUGCAUCAUCAGUAGUGCAGUAAAUGUUUUCUUAACUGACCGGCGGCUAACUACGAGCUACCACCUGCAGCAUCAUGGUUUGAUGUCAACAGGAAUCAGAUGAAAGGGAGCAUUACCGCCAUUUAACCUUCAACGGAAGACAAAAUCUUGCUUGUAAACAGUAAACCGGCAUGUCGACAGGACGCUCGUCGGGAACCUUUCUCGCUAUUUACUGAAGUUGUUGUGCACUGGCAAGCACAUGUCGACAAGGCUCUUCCCAUAAGGCCGACCGACCCACUCCUGAACUCCACUUCGCCCCUUUCUUCACCGGACUUUCACCCCCCCCACACGCAUGCAGGAGGCCAGACGACCCUCAGAGUCAACACGGAAAGUUUAUUACGCUUGGACAUGAAAAUACAGU